CUUCUCUGUUUAGGACAAUGACCCCCAGACCGACUGACUUCAGGACUCACAUGUUACUUCCUACCAGCCCUAAGCUGAACUAUCUUUUGAGGAAGAUGCUUCUGGAUCACUGUCUCUUCAUGGUGCACUCAAUGUAAGACUCCAGCAGGAAGAUGGUUUCGUCCACCUGGAUCUCACUGGCAUCCAACCUGAGUGAAAAAGGUCUCACUCUGUCACCCAGGUUGGAGUACAGUGG